UGGGGGAAUAUUGGUCAAUGGGCGAGAGCCUGAACCAGCCAAGUCGCGUGAGGGACGAAGGCCCUACGGGUUGUAAACCUCUUUUAUAAGGGAAUAAAGGGCGCCACGUGUGACGCAUUGCAUGUACCUUAUGAAUAAGCAUCGGCUAACUCCGUGCCAGCAGCCGCGGUAAUACGGAGGAUGCGAGCGUUAUCCGGAUUCAUUGGGUUUAAAGGGUGCGUAGGUGGCUUGUUAAGUCAGCGGUGAAAGUCAGUGGCUCAACCAUUGAAUUGCCGUUGAAACUGGCGAGCUUGAGUACGUACGGGGCAGGCGGAAUGCGUGGUGUAGCGGUGAAAUGCAUAGAUAUCACACAGAACACCGAUUGCGAAGGCAUCUCACGAAUCCGCAAUUGACGCUGAGGCACGAAAGUGUGGGGAUCAAACAGGAUUAGAUACCCUGGUAGU
rnacentral:rRNA from 1 species